UACGUAGGGGGCAAGCGUUGUCCGGAUUUAUUGGGCGUAAAGAGCGUGUAGGCGGCCAGACAGGUCAGCUGUGAAAACUCGAGGCUCAACCUCGAGACGUCGGUUGAAACCGUCUGGCUAGAGUCCGGAAGAGGAGAGUGGAAUUCCCGGUGUAGCGGUGAAAUGCGCAGAUAUCGGGAAGAACACCCGUGGCGAAGGCGGCUCUCUGGGGCGGUACUGACGCUGAGACGCGAAAGCGUGGGGAGCGAACAGG
rnacentral:rRNA from 1 species